GACGGAGGAUGCAAGUGUUAUCCGGAAUCACUGGGCGUAAAGCGUCUGUAGGUGGUUAAAAAGUCCACUGUUAAAGAUUGAAGCUUAACUUCAAAAAUGCCGUGGAAACUUUUAAACUUGAGUAUGAUAGGGUAGAGGGAAUUUCCAGUGGAGCGGUGAAAUGCGUAGAUAUCGGGAAGAACACCAGUGGCGAAGGCGGCUGCCUGGCCUGUAACUGACGCUGAGACGACGAAAGCGUGGGGAGCGAACCGG
rnacentral:rRNA from 1 species